GGGCGCAGGCGCCGAGAGGCGCACGGGAGACCUCAGGCCCAGACUCCACUCCCCAGCUGUGAAAGGACUGCUGGCCAGACCCCCAAGCUAGCCCGCCAGGCCUCCAUAGAGCUGCCCAGCAUGGCUGCGUCCAGUACCAAGAGUUGGUGGGAGACGGGUGAGGUACAGGCUCAGUCUGCGGCCAAGACUCCGUCCUGCAAGAUGGACUCUGUGACUACAUGACUAAUAAAAUAUGGCAGAAAUGACACCAUGCAGUUUCCAAGCCCAGGCCUUAGGAGACAGGCAGCUUCCAGUUCAGUCUUUUGGAGGGUCAGCUCUGGGGCCCUCAGCCAUCACGCAUGGAGUCCAACCACCCUGAGACGUCAUGCUGGAGACCCACCUGUGGAUGCCCCAGUCAAGAGUCCUGGCUGAGCCCAGCCUCCCAGCCACCCCCACCCAAGGCAUCAGACCACGAAGCUUCUGGCCAAGGCUUCACCAACUUCACUUGAUGCUGUGAGGAACAGAACUGCCCAUCCAAGCCCUGCCAGAAUUUCUAACCCACAAAGCCAUGAGUCACAAUAAAUGCCAUGGGACAAAAACAGUCAUGCAUGUUGCUUUUGUCAUACAUUAGUGGUAGUUCAUCGCACGGCAAUAGAAAACCAAAAUACCUGUCUACUGGGUUCGUCCAUUUGGAUGCCACAGAGGCACCUGAAACAGAACACGUUCAUUACUUAACUCUGGUUCUUCCUUCCACACUGACCUCCACCCACUGCUCCCAAGGUUGCCCCUCCUCCAGAGUCCUCCAUCUCCAACAUAGUAUCACCAUCUCCCCAGGAACUCAAGUGUGAAGGCAGGGGUCAUGUUUGGCAUCUGUCACCCUUUGCGAGUUGCAACCUGGAGACCCUGGAGGGUGUUAUGAUGAGUGAAAUAACCUAAUCACAAAAGGACUAAUACUCCACAAAUUCACUUAUAUGAGGAGUCUAGGAGUCAAAUUCCUAGAGACUGAAAGAACGGUGGUUGUCAGGGGCUGGGGAGAAUGGGGAGUUCAUAUUUAAUGGGGACAGAGUUUCAGUUUUGCCAGAUGAGAAUAACCUGGAAAUGGAUGGUGUGAUGUUUGCACAAUGUGAACGUACUUUACUCCACUAUACAUUUGAAAGUGAGUGCAAUGGAAAAGUUUAUGUGAUGAGUUUUUUACCACAAUUAAAAAUAUAACAAAA
rnacentral:lncRNA from 1 species